ensembl:misc_RNA
UUGGUAGCCCUGGAGACUGAAGAACUUCUAUUUUUCCACAGAACAUGGGCAGCAACAGCAUGAUUCCCCAAUCCCCAAACUGCACCACCAGCAUGCCCUGAUCCUGUCUACAGGGGCCAUCUCUAGAGGGCAGUUCAGUCUCAACGCCCAUUAAGCCCUUGCUAUA